rnacentral:lncRNA from 7 species
CGCGAAUGCCGCAAGAGUUGUUGCGACGCCCUGGCCCAGUCCAUGCCUAUUUACAUGGCCACGAUCCCAGUGCCGUCCUAGUCUCCUCCUUGUGCAUCCUCACCUCCACCAAAAGAUCGUUGCGUCGUGUGAGGAGGGGAGGGAACACCUGAACCCGUUCGGCCGUGGGUGGGGAGGCGCGUCGCCACCAUUGUCUGGUGCUUGUGGGGCGUUUGUGGAAGCUCAGCGUGCCCUGACCCUGUGCAGUGGGGUCGUUGGGCGUGUGGCCGUCCAGGGUGCGCGAAUCUACACAACGUCGAUCCGCCAUCACCGUCGACCGCCUAGCGCCGCGUUCGUGCCCCUCUCUGC